rnacentral:rRNA from 1 species
AGUGAACGCUGGCGGUAGGCCUAACACAUGCGAGUCGAACGGCAGCACAGUAAGAGCUUGCUCUUACGGGUGGCGAGUGGCGGACGGGUGAGGAAUACAUCGGAAUCUACUUUUUCGUGGGGGAUAACGUAGGGAAACUUACGCUAAUACCGCAUACGACCUACGGGUGAAAGCAGGGGAUCUUCGGACCUUGCGCGAUUGAAUGAGCCGAUGUCGGAUUAGAUAGUUGGCGGGGUAAAGGCCCACCAAGGCGACGAUCCGUAGCUGGUCUGAGAGGAGGGUCGGCCACACUGGAAGGGGGACACGGUCAAGACUCCUACGGGAGGCAGCAGAGGGGAAUAUUGGACAAUGGGGGGAAGCAUGAUCCAACCAUACCGCGUGGGUGAAGAAGGCCUUGGGGUUGUAAAGCCCGUUUGUUGGGAAAGAAAAGCAGCAGGUUAAUACGCAGCUGUUGUGACGGUAACCAAAGAAUAAGCACCGGCUAACUACGUG